GAUGGAAAGUGGGCUUAAAGAAGCCAUCUUUUUAGAGUGGGUUAAUCCUCAGUAUUUCUAGUUAAUGAUCAAAUGAAGUUCCUUUUGUUCAACAAAACUUCUUCACGAAACUAAGGGGUGAAGGUAAUAAUGUAAAGAUGAGUAGCUCAGUUUUUGGGGUUUAUUUGGUUCAGGAAAUUAAACGCUAAGUGAACGAUGAUGAUAAGCAAAGCUAAAGGAACUCGGCAAUAACGAAAACCGCCUGUUUAGCAAAAACAUGGCUCCUUGAAAUCAUAAGGAGUCGUGCCUUCCCGGUGAGUUUAAACUUAAACGGAUGCGGUAAAGCGUGCUAAGGUAGCUAAGUUAUGGCCUAGUUAAUUGUAGGCCCUGUGAAUGGUUUGACGAGUUUUCUUCUGUCUCUAGCUUGUUUUAGUGAACUUGAAUUGGAUGUGCAAAUGCUUCCUUGCGAAAGAAAGACGAGAAGACCCCGUGAAGUUAGAAAUCUAUGUGCGUGGAGGUAGAAGGUUACUUCCCUUAGCUUAUGGUUUUGG
rnacentral:rRNA from 1 species